GACGAACGCUGGCGGCGUGCCUAAUACAUGCAAGUCGAACGCUUCUUUUUCCACCGGAGCUUGCUCCACCGGAAAAAGAAGAGUGGCGAACGGGUGAGUAACACGUGGGUAACCUGCCCAUCAGAAGGGGAUAACACUUGGAAACAGGUGCUAAUACCGUAUAACAAUCAAAACCGCAUGGUUUUGAUUUGAAAGGCGCUUUCGGGUGUCGCUGAUGGAUGGACCCGCGGUGCAUUAGCUAGUUGGUGAGGUAACGGCUCACCAAGGCCACGAUGCAUAGCCGACCUGAGAGGGUGAUCGGCCACAUUGGGACUGAGACACGGCCCAAACUCCUACGGGAGGCAGCAGUAGGGAAUCUUCGGCAAUGGACGAAAGUCUGACCGAGCAACGCCGCGUGAGUGAAGAAGGUUUUCGGAUCGUAAAACUCUGUUGUUAGAGAAGAACAAGGAUGAGAGUAACUGUUCAUCCCUUGACGGUAUCUAACCAGAAAGCCACGGCUAACUACGUGCCAGCAGCCGCGGUAAUACGUAGGUGGCAAGCGUUGUCCGGAUUUAUUGGGCGUAAAGCGAGCGCAGGCGGUUUCUUAAGUCUGAUGUGAAAGCCCCCGGCUCAACCGGGGAGGGUCAUUGGAAACUGGGAGACUUGAGUGCAGAAGAGGAGAGUGGAAUUCCAUGUGUAGCGGUGAAAUGCGUAGAUAUAUGGAGGAACACCAGUGGCGAAGG
rnacentral:rRNA from 1 species